CUCAGGACGAACGCUGGCGGCGUGCCUAAUACAUGCAAGUCGAACGAACUCUGGUAUUGAUUGGUGCUUGCAUCAUGAUUUACAUUUGAGUGAGUGGCGAACUGGUGAGUAACACGUGGGAAACCUGCCCAGAAGCGGGGGAUAACACCUGGAAACAGAUGCUAAUACCGCAUGACAACUUGGACCGCAUGGUCCGAGCUUGAAAGAUGGCUUCGGCUAUCACUUUUGGAUGGUCCCGCGGCGUAUUAGCUAGAUGGUGGGGUAACGGCUCACCAUGGCAAUGAUACGUAGCCGACCUGAGAGGGUAAUCGGCCACAUUGGGACUGAGACACGGCCCAAACUCCUACGGGAGGCAGCAGUAGGGAAUCUUCCACAAUGGACGAAAGUCUGAUGGAGCAACGCCGCGUGAGUGAAGAAGGGUUUCGGCUCGUAAAACUCUGUUGUUAAAGAAGAACAUAUCUGAGAGUAACUGUUCAGGUAUUGACGGUAUUUAACCAGAAAGCCACGGCUAACUACGUGCCAGCAACCGCGGUAAUACGUAGGUGGCAAGCGUUGUCCGGAUUUAUUGGGCGUAAAGCGAGCGCAGGCGGUUUUUUAAGUCUGAUGUGAAAGCCUUCGGCUCAACCGAAGAAGUGCAUCGGAAACUGGAAACUUGAGUGCAGAAGAGGACAGUGGAACUCCAUGUGUAGCGGUGAAAUGCGUAGAUAUAUGGAAGAGCACCAGUGGCGAAGGCGGCUGUCUGGUCUGUAACUGACGCUGAGGCUCGAAAGUAUGGGUAGCAAACAGGAUUAGAUACCCUGGUAGUCCAUACCGUAAACGAUGAAUGCUAAGUGUUAGAGGGUUUCCGCCCUUCAGUGCUGCAGCUAACGCAUUAAGCAUUCCGCCUGGGGAGUACGGCCGCAAGGCUGAAACUCAAAGGAAUUGACGGGGGCCCGCACAAGCGGUGGAGCAUGUGGUUUAAUUCGAAGCUACGCGAAGAACCUUACCAGGUCUUGACAUACUAUGCAAAUCUAAGAGAUUAGACGUUCCCUUCGGGGACAUGGAUACAGGUGGUGCAUGGUUGUCGUCAGCUCGUGUCGUGAGAUGUUGGGUUAAGUCCCGCAACGAGCGCAACCCUUAUUAUCAGUUGCCAGCAUUAAGUUGGGCACUCUGGUGAGACUGCCGGUGACAAACCGGAGGAAGGUGGGGAUGACGUCAAAUCAUCAUGCCCCUUAUGACCUGGGCUACACACGUGCUACAAUGGAUGGUACAACGAGUUGCGAACUCGCGAGAGUAAGCUAAUCUCUUAAAGCCAUUCUCAGUUCGGAUUGUAGGCUGCAACUCGCCUACAUGAAGUCGGAAUCGCUAGUAAUCGCGGAUCAGCAUGCCGCGGUGAAUACGUUCCCGGGCCUUGUACACACCGCCCGUCACACCAUGAGAGUUUGUAACACCCAAAGUCGGUGGGGUAACCUUUUAGGAACCAGCCGCCUAAGGUGGGACAGAUGAUUAGGGUG
rnacentral:rRNA from 1 species